AUACGGAGGGUGCAAGCGUUAUCCGGAAUCAUUGGGUUUAAAGGGUCCGCAGGCGGAUUAAUAAGUCAGUGGUGAAAUCCUCUCGCUCAACGAGAGAACUGCCAUUGAAACUGUUAGUCUUGAAUUCGGUCGAAGUAGGCGGAAUGUGUCAUGUAGCGGUGAAAUGCAUAGAUAUGACACAGAACACCGAUAGCGAAGGCAGCUUACUAGACCUGGAUUGACGCUCAUGGACGAAAGCGUGGGGAGCGAACCGGAUUAGAUACCCGAGUAGUCC
rnacentral:rRNA from 1 species